CAGGACUGGAAAUGUACCCUCUGAGCAGCAUGGACACUGCUACAUCUGUUACUUUUGUUGGUGUUAUGGGAUUGAGAUCCUACUACUAUGAAGAAUCAUGCCUGUAGGUUUAAUUGCAGGUGCCAGUUUGCUGAUGGCCGCCAAAGUUGGAGUUCGU